rnacentral:tmRNA from 1 species
GGGGCUGAUCGGUUUCGACGGUGACCUGUUCGUCGCAGGGAAGCGUGCCGAGAACGCGGGGGUCCACUCGUUAACGUGCUCCCGUAAAAGAACAAGUGCUAAAUCUAACCGCACUGAGUUCGCUCUCGCUGCCUGAGCUUUAAGCCAGGAUUAACCAGCGAGCUGCGGCUCCGCCCACUCCCUCACGUCUUCGGGGGGAUGUUGGACGUCAUGAGAGGACUUGCUUGAGUCAUUGGACCGCAGGGUGACUUGGGGACUUUUACUGUAGAUAUGCCCGCCAUCGGUUGUCUGCGACACAGGUGGGGGCAGAAAAACUGCCAUUAGGCCAGCAGACUACGCACGUAGAAGACUGUGGGUACGGUUACCGGACCGGGGUUCAAUUCCCCGCAGCUCCACCA